AAGAUUUAAAAAAAAAAAGGAAUGUUUUAACUAAUGUAUUUAGCGAGACAUUGUUAAUGUGGUGAAACAAAACAGAUUUAAAUUUAGCUUGUGAUCAACACACAAAUUGUAGACUAAUUGUCUGCGCAGGAAUGCCGAUUUCUGCUCACUGCAGAUUUGAUUUAAUUCCAACCGUACGUUUUAAAUCUGACUGACUAUGAUGUCACUGUUCGCAUGAUUUCUUAUCUAAAAACGCUGGUAGGUUAUAGCUUCCUAAAACCCUCUAUAGUGACCGUGGAGUAGAUUCUAGCUUCCUAAAACCCUCUAUAUUGACCAUGGAGUAGAUUCUAGCUUCCUAAAACCCUCUAUAUUGACCAUGGAGUAGGUUAUAGCUUCCUAAAACCCUCUAUAUUGACCAUGGAGUAGAUUCUAGCUUCCUACAACCGCCUAAAAUCACUAGCAUGCGUUAUGUUUUGUUUUGUGUCACAUCUCUUGACUUUCUACCUGCGAUUUUAAACUAAAGGAAAGCAACUCGUCUAACAGAAGAAGCAAGUAUCAUGAAGCCACGAGCACAGAAGAUAAUGCAGUCGCAUGGCACAAAGGAGUAUUGUGUUGGCAUCCAGUGGCUGCGUCAAAACUGGAAUAUUUAAUAAUCAAUCCUCUAUUUGAAAUACAUUUUUAGAACUGAACUGAAUACAUAAAAAAUAAAGAAUAAAGUAGACUUGACUAAAUGCCGUUGCCACGAACAGUAGCGGAGAUAUUGAGAUGAGCAAGUAUUGCUCUCACACAGUAUCUGCACCAAGUGUACUGGUUUUGAUUUUUCACGGGACCAAAACAGAGGAGAAGUUGAGCCUCGCGCUUCAACACUCUUAGUUGUAGUGGAAAUUGGCCCACGAUGCUGUCUACCUUUUAAUUAUUGACCAUUCCCC
ensembl:lncRNA